CUGUUAAUUGCUUUUUAGCCUCAUCUUUUUCACUCAAGUACUCAAAUGUAGCUAAGUCUUUUGAUGAGGUGGAUGGCAUGCCAAUUGUAACUGUUUUCCUGAAGGUCAGUUAAUAACAUACUGAAAACAUAUGGGUCUCUCUUUCCUUAUCAAAACUGUACUCAGUGAUGAGGACUGAAAAAAAAAAAAAAAAAAAAAAACAUGCAGUGGAGGUGACUGCCUCUUACCCUGACUCAGCCCACAUUGCCAUCUUUGCCCAUGAUACUACACUUUCUGCCCCAAUCCCCAUUUCAUUCACGGAGUCUUCGAGAAGAGCUGUGGUUUGUAGCUUAGUUCUUGCAAUGAAAACCUGAAGGGUAUCUUGAAGGUCUUGGAUUCAGCAAAGACUAAGGUUCAGCAUGGGCAUGAGACCUGUGGUUUCGAUCAGUUGGAGACAUUUGCACAUGUGAAGAAGGGUGACAGAAGGUGGGCAGCUGGAUCUACUGGUUCAUCUCAAGCUCAUCUCCAACAUAAAUGACUACACCCUAUUUCUUUUUGUGCAACUCCUCUGGAAAAUUACUUUAAUAAAAUACAUGUGAAAAUAUUAAGUAGGAACAACUGUGAAAAUCAAAUGGAUCUACUUACGACAACCAAGAAAAUGAAUAAGCAAUUCAUAGUCUAUGAAACUGUAAGGCAACGGAAAUGUCCUUGAUUUGAUCAAGGAAAGGCAAACUCAUUUCAUAGUAUCUCUAGACUUUGACUACCAGUGAAGCAGAGCUGUCUUAUCUUUAGAACAAAGAAAGAGAACAAAAUUCAAACAGGAUUAUAUUUUAAGACAUAAAACUAUCACUCUGUUGACAACUACUGAUACCUGCUGUCAAUAUAAAAGAGGGAAAGGAAAAUUACUUAGUGCAGUAGUUUGAAUGGAUGAUUUCUCAGUGUCAAAGAUUUAAUAAAACUAACAUUUUCUCUCUCUCUCUCUCUCUUUUUUUUUCUUUUUUUUUUUUUUUUUUUUUUUACCAGAAUUAAUCAUUUUCUCAUUUGUUGUUCAAUAUUUUAUCCAUACAUAAAAAUAUUAAUAUCUGUGCAGUGCAUCAUAGCCAAACUCUACAGUAAAUCACUCACAUUCCGAAAUAAAAGUAAAUGGCAAGCUACCACUUAAACAACUCUUCUGGAGAACUUCUGCUAAGCAUCUCCUCUGCUAAAAUAAAGUUCCCUCAUAGCUCUACAGCUGUGAAACAGUAGUUCCAUUUAGCAUUUCACAUCUGAUCAGCAGAAC
rnacentral:lncRNA from 1 species